AAGACUAUAUUUUCCAGGAUCAUUUCUAUAGUUCUUUGCUUGGGAAAUGUGUUUUUGAAAGUGUUUGUCUCCCAGCCCAUGAUGAUGACUAUAGUACUCCUUUCUGAGAGCGGGUGAGGACAGAACUCGUCGGCUUUGUUCACAAGCUUGUGUCGUUGAUGAGCGUUCAUAGUGUUUGUACAAUGUGAAGAAAGGAGCUAUGAUCUGAAAGUGGA
ensembl:snoRNA U3 Small nucleolar RNA U3